ACUGAUGGGUUUACAGCAAGGCGUCUAGAAUCAAGUCAGAUGUGAAUUUACAAGUCAAACAAGAUCUGUGAAGCGAUCAACACCUCGCCUAGUGCUUAUAAAAGGUGUUAAAUCCGUACAUACAGGGGUGACUCUAAAGGAAAACAAGCACCGCAGAAAAUGGGAACUUGGUGCUAGAAAGAAAACGAAUGUUGGUGUGUGGGCAUUAGCAGGGAGGUUGUAGGACAGACGAGGUAUAACUGUCUUCUGUCGACUCACUGCUGCUGCUGCUGCUGCUUCUGGCGAGCGACCAACAUUUCCUCCCCCGCCGCCGCCAACACAGCAGCACCGCGCCCUAUGUGCUGCUGUUCCCGGCGCUGCACGAUAUGGCAAAGACGUCGCAAAGAAGGGACGUUGAUGUGUGUGUGUGUGUGUGUGUGUGUGUGUGUGUGUGUGUGUGUGUGUGUGUGUGUGUGUGUGUGUGUGUGUGUGUGUGUGUGUGUGUGACUAUGUGUGUGUGUGUGUGUGUGUGUGUGUGUGUGUGUGUGUGUGUGUGUGUGUGUGUGUCAAGGCUCCAGAAAGCAGUGUUCUGACAGCAGAUGUCAGCGAUGUGGCGGCUCUUUAACGAGAAACCUUACGGACACAUGAAUUCGUUUUUUUUUUUUUUUUUUUAUUUUUAAAUGUUCUCGAUGACCUUCAGCGAGGCGCGGGAGGCGCAUGCAGGGCUGUCAGUGGCGGGGUGUGGCAGGCAUCUAAUAUCUUCUUUCCGGCGUUACUUUUCAGUAGGAGGAAGGCACCGUGGCCCGUCAGGUGCCAUGGGAGGGGCGGAAGGGCACACUAGAUCUAGGCAGAUGGCUCCUCAGCCACAAGCGCACCGACAGAAGAUUCCUUCACAAGCACUGCAAGCUCCAGACUUUCCCGUCGCCGAGCAGUCUUCUUCUGACGCCGGCAGAUUCCUGGUGGCACAGCGGCCGGUGUCACCGGGGGAGCUGCUGGUGUAUGAAUCGCCCGUGGCGCUGGGGCCACGCGCCUCCUGCUACCCUGUGUGUUUGGGCUGCCACGAACUAAUAAGUGAUGAGGCUGUGCCGCGGUGUGAGCGGUGCUGGUGGCCCCUGUGCUCACAGCGAUGCGCCUCCAGCCUCCGUCACGCCGCUGAGUGCCCCGUGCUGGCAGCCGACAGCCAAAGGAUCGGACAGCCACAGUUCUUCGGCUACAGUUCGAAGUAUGACGUCAUCCUGGUGGUGCGGUGCCUUUUGCUGCGAAGGACAAACCCUGACGCGUGGCGCCACCUGCUGGAGCUGGCCAGCCACGUGCCUUACCGCUUACUGGAGGACGAUGAUGACCACCAGACCACUGUCGACUACGUGACGCAGGUACUCAAGGUGGAGGAGGACACCCAGCUGGUACACCACGUACGUGACGCCAUCACCACCAACAGUUUCGAGUGGACGAGUCCCUCCGGCGUGAGGCUGCGGGGCCUGUACCUGCAACUGUCUCGCCUCAACCACUCCUGCCGCCCAUCCGUCUCCGUGUCGUCUGACGGCAAAGGCACCAUGUUUGUACGUGCGGCUCGUGACCUGGCGGGCGGCGACGCCCUCACGGUGGCCUACACGUCCACCCUCCAUCCACUGUGGGAGCGCCGCGCCUACACCAAACAAACGCACUACUUCAUCUGUGACUGUGACCGAUGCAGUGACCCCACAGAGCUGGGCGUGCACUACUCCUCGCUGCCGUGCCCUGAGUGCCGCGGCCAGUACCUGGAGCCCACCACUUGGCUAGGGGACGCCACAUGGGAGUGCCCGGUGUGUGGCAGACGGCAGGAGGAGGCAGCCAUCAGGGAGGAGGUGGACCGUUGGAUGAGCCGUUUUGAUUAUGACGACACCUUCAUCAAGAGCACCCCGACGGCCGUGCGGGGCAUCCUGGACGGCGUGCAGAUGGCCUUCCACGCCCACCACUACGUGUGGGUCAUGGCGGCGCAGGUGGCCAUCAGGACGCUCGCGCCGGACCACUCCCGCAAGGCCAUGACGCUCAAGCGGCAGCUGUGGCAGAGACUCUUGCACAUCUACAGCAUCCUGGAGCCCGGCAUGACCAGGAGACGAGGUGCCGUGCCCCUCCCUCCUUUCGCUCACUCACCUCCCGCCGCCCCCGCUUGGAGGAGCCACUGACCGGCGAGUCAUGCUGACGCUGACCCUAACACACCUGCGGCACAUCUGCUCAACGUACCAUACCACCAACCUAAUCUCUCUCUCUCUCUCUCUCUCUCUCUCUCUCUGGUAAUGUGCUUCACCUAACAAGCUCUCACAACCGCAGCCAUUCCUCAAUUGAGCAUAACGCCACGCCUCCACCUGCCCCCUGAUGCCUCUGCUGCCGGCGGGAUCUGAUACAUGCACACACACACACACGCCCAGACGGAGAGAGGCGGCGGUGGGCGUAAGGUGUGACUCUCUACCACCUGGGCACCGUCGAGGCGGACCUGACGAGGGUUGAGCGAGGGGAAGGGACGCUCACCGACCACUUCUUCAGGCAGGAGCUCCACCGCGCGCUCCAGCACCUUCAGGAGGCCGCUGAUAU
rnacentral:misc_RNA from 1 species